rnacentral:rRNA from 1 species
UACGGAGGGUGCAAGCGUUAUCCGGAUUCACUGGGUUUAAAGGGUGCGUAGGUGGGAAUGUAAGUCAGUGGUGAAAUCUCCGUGCUUAACAUGGAAACUGCCAUUGAUACUAUGUUUCUUGAAUUUUCUGGAGGUAAGCGGAAUAUGUCAUGUAGCGGUGAAAUGCUUAGAUAUGACAUAGAACACCAAUUGCGAAGGCAGCUUGCUACAGGGAUAUUGACAUUGAGGCACGAAAAGCGUGGGGGAUCAAAACAGGG